GCUUCUAUAUUUAAUAGUGGCUGCUAACAGGACGACCACACUGGGGUUUGCGGCGACGACAUUCGUGGAAGCUUCCAGAACCUUAACGAUGGAGGUUUCCGUCGGUGCUGGUUGUUGGGACUGGGUUCUUUCCAGUUCAGAAGGAGCUCAAAACAGUAGAAUACAGAGAGGCUAGAGGAAAGAUUCGUGGCUUAUGCAUUCUUUCGGUUUUACUUUGUAAGGUUUUUAUGCUUUCAUUGAAAUCGUUGGAGUCAUAAGCAGAAUAUCAAGAUCUCCUCUCACAUAAAGUAUCAUCACAGUAUGGACUCGCAACAAAUUUUCAGUUUCUUAUUUUGGCUUUGCAAUUAUGUAUGCUUCCUUUGGUCUUCUCUUAAAAUAUUUUGAUAGUUCAAAAUGAAACAUAGCUAAAUGACACAUGAAAUAAAUGAAACAUUAAACAACCAAAUGGUGAUAUUAGAGUCUAUAAACUUAGCAAACUGGUAAAACAAGAAAGGGUACCUGUUUGAAGAAGUUUAAGUUUGAAUCUUAGUGUAAGAUCAAGUUUUGAUCGAGUAGUACAACUCUAUAUUUUGAUGAUUACAAGUUAACAUUUUAGUAUGAAUAAUUAUGGUACUCUAACAUGUUUUUCUGAGUGUGCUAUUUACAGGCUCUGACCUCUAUUUUAUCUCACACAAAUCAGAAGCACUGUGCAUAAAGAGUGACCCAAGCAAUGCUUUCGCAACAUCUAUGUUCACUCUGAACAGAAUAAAUGCUUCAGAAGUUCUGAAGUCAUACAAACUUUGAUAUGGACUCAGUCACUUGAAGUUCUGAAGAUCCAGACGUUCUGACAACCCAGACACUCUGAAGGUUCAGAUGUUCUGACGGUGUAGAAGACUCUGAAGAUCCAGAAGCUGAAAAGUGGAAACUCUGAUGUCCAGAAGCAAGAUGACUCUGAAGACCAUGUACUUCCCUCUGAGUUCAGAAUCAGAAGAUACAACGGUCAGAGGAUCACUGCUUCCCUCUGACUCUGAUCAACGAGCUUCACAAGUUCCAACAUGAAUCAUUCCCCUGAUCAGAAGUCUACUAGAUUUAAAGGUCAAGUCACUAUCCAAGUACAAAAGCAAAUGUACUAUCCUGACGACCUACCUAACAUUCUCAGCCACAACAGAAGCUGGAAUUUCCAGAACUGCCCUCCAACGGUAGCAUUCCCAUGGAGCGUUCAAACCCUAAUCUUUGGAGUAUAAAUAGAGGCUGAAGAUUGAAAGAUGCGGUUGGAAGAAUCUCACACGCGCAAGCUAUAUUCAAACCUUCUAAGCAUUCUUUCAUCUGAAUUCAUUGUGUUUACUAUUAGCUUUUCAGAAGCAAAUUAUUUGUAAACAUACUUUCUUAAACAGUUGUUUAAUUACCUUUAGGAGAUCAAGGUUGAUCGGAUCCUAGAGAAGACUAAGAGAGUGAAUCUUAGUGUGAGCUAAGUCAGUGUAUUGUUAGUUACUUGUAGGUUUCAAGUGCAGUUGUAACAUUUACCUGAUUAGUGGAUUGUCUUCAUUCUAAGAAGGAAGAAAUCACCUUAACGGGUGG